AUGCCCAGGAAGGAGGCGGCGGCAGCGGCCUGGGAGGAGCCGAGCUCGGGCAACGGUACGGCCCGCGCCGGGCCCAGAAAACGCGGCGGCCUGGCGGGCAGGAAGCGCGAGCGACCGGAGCGCUGCAGUAGCAGCAGCAGCGGCGGCGGCGACGAGGACGGUCUGGAGCUCGACGGGGCCCCCGGAGGGGGCAAGUGCGCGGCACGGCCGGCGGCGGCGGGCAAGGCUGGCGGCGCGGCUGUGGUCGUCACUGAGCCCGAACACACCAAGGAGCGCGUCAAACUUGAAGGGUCGAAGUGCAAAGGGCAGCUUUUGAUUUUGGGGGCAACCAACUGGGACUUGAUUGGUCAGAAAGAAGUGCCUAAACAGCAAGCCGCUUACCGCAAUCUUGGGCAGAAUCUGUGGGGGCCCCACAGGUAUGGGUGCCUGGCGGGAGUCCGGGUGCGGACGGUGGUCUCGGGCUCGUGUGCUGCGCACAGCCUCCUCAUCACCACAGAAGGGAAGCUGUGGAGCUGGGGUCGAAAUGAGAAGGGGCAGCUGGGACAUGGUGACACCAAGAGAGUGGAAGCCCCCAGACUCAUUGAGGGUCUCAGCCAUGAAGUGAUCGUGUUGGCAGCAUGUGGGCGGAACCACACCCUGGCCUUGACUGAAACCGGCUCCGUGUUUGCGUUUGGGUAGAACAAGAUGGGGCAACUGGGCCUCGGCAACCAGACAGAUGCCGUCCCCAGCCCGGCUCAGAUAGUGUACAGCGGCCAGCCAAUUACCAAAAUGGCCUGUGGGGCUGAAUUCAGUAUGAUAAUGGACUGCAAAGGAAACCUCUAUUCCUUUGGGUGCCCUGAAUAUGGUCAGCUGGGACACAACUCGAUGGGAAGUUCAUUGCCUGGGCGCAGCGGAUAGAGUACGACUGUGAGCUGGUACCCCGGAGAGUGGCCAUCUUCAUUGAGAAGACGAAAGAUGGGCAGAUUCUGCCCGUACCAAACGUGGUUGUUCGAGACAUGGCCUGUGGCGCUAACCACACACUGGUCCUGGACUCCCAGAAGCGAGUCUUCUCUUGGGGCUUUAGUGGCUAUGGCCGGCUCGGCCACGCGGAGCAGAAGGAUGAGAUGGUCCCUCGCCUGGUGAAGCUGUUUGAUUUCCCUGAUCGUGGGGCGUCCCAGAUCUACGCUGGUUUCACCUGCUCCUUUGCUGUCAGUGAAGUGGGUGGUCAUGUUUUUCUGGGGGGCUACCAAUACUUCCUGUGAGUCUACUAUGUAUCCGAAAGUGGUACAGGACCUCUGUGGCUGGAGAAUCCGGAGCCUGGCUUGCGGGAAGAGCAGCAUCAUCGUGGCCGCAGACGAGAGCACCAUCAGCUGGGGCCCAUCGCCGACCUUCGGGGAACUGGGCUACGGGGACCACAAGCCCAAAUCUUCCACUGCAGCCCAAGAGGUGAAGACUCUGGAUGGCAUCUUCUCAGAGCAGGUCGCCAUGGGCUACUCACACUCCUUGGUGAUAGCAAGAGAUGAAAGCGAGACUGAGAAAGAGAAGAUCAAGAAACUGCCAGAGUACAACCCCUGAACCCUCUGA